UUACUAGAAGCCUCUUCCAGCUGCUCUAUGAGGCCUUUGAUCGUUUCCUCGUGAUUUUGCUCGUUCUCGUGAAUUUCUUCACGAAGUUUGUUCACCUGAAGCUGGUGAUAAGAGGCCCUCUUGUUUGCACCUACCAUUUUACCGUAAAGGUCGUUCUGAUGGUAUUGGGAGGCUUCCAGUUGGUGUCUGAGAGCAGCAAUCUCGUGCCAGGGAUUAAACGGGGUCCCUCCAUUAGGCACAGGGUUUGGUCUGCUGGGGUUCUUCCCAUUUCUCUCUCUCUCCAUGUCCUCCUUUGCAUUUGAAAUGGGGAGCAUUUCUUCAUUUUUUGGGUUUGCUCCAUCAGCCGUGCUGUUUUGAGCUUCAAGAAGAGCCCGGGCAUAUGCCCGAGUAAUUGCUCUUCUUGGUUCUUCAGCCACUCUUUUCUGUUUUUGCUUUUUUGUUUCUUUGGUUUCACAACCGUUUCCUUUGGUGGUUGUGCCACAGGAGACUUUUUAGUAUUUGGUUGUGCGGCUUUAUCAACCUCAGGUUUUGGUGUGAUGACCAUUUCUAUUUUUGCUUCUGCCAUUGUAGAUGCGUCAGCGUGUGCGUGUGCGUUUCUCUGCGUCCGCCUUGUCUUUGUUUUAACAACCAGGUUGCUUUGUGUUUCUGCCAUCUGAGAUCCACUAAAGUCGGUUGAACGUCUCCCCUAUUUAUAGGGUUUUCCAGUAGAAUGUGCACUGUGACAUCACAGGCUGUUCCUGUGAUGCGCUGUUCCUUUGAAGUGCCAUGAUUGGAACAAUUCAAAAUAAAAUGCCCACAAACCUAAUGUAAAGGAAAGGCUUUUAUUUUGUAGCACAUACUGAAUUAACACUAUAAAAGCUACUCUACAGGAAUUGCAGUAAAAAAUA